UGUGGUGCAUAGAAGCUGGAUGCUGCUUCUCCAUGUUUGGUUCUGGUUCUGGGGAUGCAGAGGAGACCAGAACCAGAAGACCUGAAGGGUCUGGAUUGUUGAUACAACAAUAGCAGAUAUUUAAUGUAUUGCGGUGCUAAUUCAUUCAGUGAUUUAUAAACUAACAGUAUUUUAAAGUUU